rnacentral:rRNA from 1 species
GAUCAUUACCAAAAAACCACAUCGGGCGCUGUAAAAGCCCCUCCCCCACGGGAAGGCCGCGCUGUCGACACCCUCUGUCUAUGUGUACCCCUUGUUUGCUCCCUCGGUGGGCUCGCCCACCGGCUGGGAUCCCCCAAACCCUUGCAUCUGCAGCAUUUAAUCUCCGAUACCAACCACAUACAUCACAACUUUCAACAAUGGAUCUCUUGGUUCUGGCAUCGAUGAAGAACGCAGCGAAAUGCGAAAAGUAGUGUGAAUUGCAGAAUUCCGUGAAUCAUCGAAUCUUUGAACGCACAUUGCGCCCCUCGGUAUUCCGUGGGGCAUGCCUGUUCGAGCGUCAUUUACACCCUCAAGCCCUGCUUGGUGUUGGGCGUCUGUCCGCGCUUCGCGCGCGGACUCGCCCUAAAGUCAUUGGCAGCGGUCAUGCCGGCUUCUAGCGCAGCACAUUUGCGCUUCCAGAAGCCCUGGCGGGCCCGCGUCCAGCAAGAUUCUUUCGACUUGACCUCGGAUCAGGUAGGGAUACCCGCUGAACUUAAGCAUAUCAAUAAGCGGAGGAAAAGAAACCAACCGGGAUUGCCCUAGUAACGGCGAGUGAAGCGGCAAUAGCUCAAAUUUGAAAUCUGGCUCCCUCUGGGGGUCCGAGUUGUAAUUUGCAGAGGGUGCUUUGGCGUUGGCGGCGGUCUAAGUUCCUUGGAACAGGACAUCGCAGAGGGUGAGAAUCCCGUUUGUGGUCGCCUGCCUUCGCCGUGUAAAGCCCCUUCGACGAGUCGAGUUGUUUGGGAAUGCAGCUCUAAAUGGGAGGUAAAUUUCUUCUAAAGCUAAAUACUGGCCAGAGACCGAUAGCGCACAAGUAGAGUGAUCGAAAGAUGAAAAGCACUUUGGAAAGAGAGUCAAACAGCACGUGAAAUUGUUGAAAGGGAAGCGCUUGCAGCCAGACUUGCCCGCAGUUGCUCACCCAGGCCUUGUGCCCGGGGCAUUCUUCUGUGGGCAGGCCAGCAUCAGUCUGGGCGGUCGGAUAAAGGCCUCUGUCACGUAUCAUCCUUC